ACAAGAAUGACAUAAGAAUUUGACAGCAUGCUGAGCAUGCCUACUGGCAGGCCAAACAAGGCAUUUCUCAAUCAAUGAACAGGCAGCAGCAGAAAAAGUCAAUAUUCCAAGGGGCACCUUUGAGGGAAUCUCUAGUUUCUGUACGAGUGUGAGUUUAGCAUAAUCACCAGCACCAAAAUCCUUAACCAUUUGUCAUAAUUACUGAUACCGGUAUGAUAAAAUUUCCCCAUAAAAGGUCUUAAAAAGAGGAAUACUGAGAAACUACGACAUUACUCUAUCACGAAAUUUUCACAUCAUGGAUCAAAGCAAAAUUUAAGCUUCAUUAAUGGCCGUGGGAUUCACCAAUUGCACCAGUGCUCGCUCCCCUUGCAUGUUAAGAGACGAUUCCGAUGCUCCGCCCUACCAGUCUGUAUUUCUCUCAUUACCAGGCAACGGCAAUGCUUCGCACGACCAAUUAGCAGAGCCGCCAACCACAACCCAACGUCAACCAGGAAAUGCAUACCAUUCCAAACAGCUCCGACCUAUUUCUCACUAUUCCUUGUCCACCCAAAAAGGUUAGCUACAUAUUAAACACCUCCAGUUUGUACAGAAAUUUCAGUUUUGAUAACCAGGUUUUUGCUGGUGCUGAAGCUAAUUCCCUCUGCGCUAUCCUAAUCAAUUAUUAAGUGUGGGCAAUUGCUACGGCUGCUGCAAAGGCCCAGUGGCUUUGAACAGUCGAGUUGGAACAAAGGAGACCAGCACAGAUGUGGGACAACAGUGGAUAUGUGGGGUAGAAUUCCUCCCUUUGCUGGGAACCUGGAGCAGCAAGAGGCUAUCCCAUGAGAAGAAGGAUCCCCGUGCCCAACUGGCAGGUUUCCUGACUCUGCCUGCAGAUAACACGGACUCUGAAAAAUAAUGAUGACUUCUGACCCUGGUGUCACGUACUAUGAAGUCUCGGGACUCGUCAUUAAACCCCCCGGAAUCGCAGCGCUGAGUCUGAUCGGCGCUGGGGCCGUUGGCGUGUUCCUCUUCAUUGCAGUCUUCAUGUACAUGUUUUUGAAAGAACAGAGAACUGUAUCUUCCAGGGUCAACACGCCAGCCCCACUGGCCACCAUAUCUGGAGGGCGAAUACACGAGAGGCUCCGAGAAGAGACAACAGACAGUUUUGAUGGAGCGGAACUUGUAUCACUGUCACCAUCUGAGAACAACCUGGUGAGAGCAGAGACAACCCACACUAUCGUGGCAGAGUGAGGAAGAUGCCCUGACAGAAAAUAUGGACAACCAAAUAUCAGUGCAAUACUUGGCAAUCUUUUCUACACUUAUUGUCUCUUGUAGACUAUGAGACACAUACUAUGGGAGUAUAUUGCUGCAAUAUUGAAACAUGGUAGUUGGUAAAAGGAGGAAUGUGAUUUUGUUCAGUUUCCUUCUAUGAUAUCUUUCGAGAAAGACUUUGAAAUAGUUACAAAAUUGAGAGAAGAGAAUUCAAGGUUGUUGUGUUAUGUUGCAAAUUCUUCCAAAUAUGUACAUAUCACAUACUUCUACCUAUUCAAUAUUCUAUAGAAAAUAAACUUGUUCAAGUUAUGCAUCCACUGUUAAUAUGAAAAAUGACAACAUAGCCUUAAAAUUGAAAUUAAAAGCAAAAUUUCUUGCGCAACAUUAGGCAAAUAAUUAUACAAAUAAAGCAAUGAACAGUAUAUCUAUAACAUGUAUAACAGAAGCUACAUUGACUUCUUUCACAAUAAUGUACCACAAUAUAAAGUUACCCAAUAGGGUAUCAUUUCACUAUGCAUGGUACUUAAGAUCAGUCUAGUUUGUUGCAGUGACCAGUUUUGUACAUAUCUACUCCCAGCUAUCAAAGUGAGAAGUCAGCACUAAAACAUACUGUUCCAUGAUAUCAAUAUGCUGGCAAGCACUAAGAGCACACAUCAAACCCUCCAGAAAUGUUCUGUGAAGUUCCGCUGCAUAGAUCUUAAAAGUUUGUAUUUGGACCAAUUUCUCACCAUGACAUUUGGUGUACUGUGAAGGUACUUUGGACACAUAUCACACAAUGACCCUUGUGAUCUAUCAUACGGCAACAAGAUGCUCUUCAAAACUUUUUUCAAAACAUAUUUCUGACUUUUCUAAUAACCAACCAAAUUGUUUGAGUUGAUACGUGAGUUUCGCAGGUAAUGUGAACUAUGCAACAUACAAUCAUGUACAA